GCUUACGGGGGGCAGCAGUGAGGAAUAUUGGUCAAUGGGCGAGAGCCUGAACCAGCCAAGUCGCGUGAGGGAGUACUGCCCUAUGGGUUGUAAACUUCUUUUGUCAGGGAGCAAUUGAGUCCACGUGUGGGCUUAGCGAGAGUACCUGAAGAAAAAGCAUCGGCUAACUCCGUGCCAGCAGCCGCGGUAAUACGGAGGAUGCGAGCGUUAUCCGGAUUUAUUGGGUUUAAAGGGUGCAUAGGCGGAAUAUCAAGUCAGCGGUAAAAAUUCGGGGCUCAACCCCGUCGUGCCGUUGAAACUGAUUU
rnacentral:rRNA from 1 species